GGAAAAAAUGGCUGAUUCCAAUAUUUGCGCCUCAGCUGUUUUCUAUGGCCAAGAUUUGCGCCUAAGCUGUUUUCUAUGGCGUCAUAUCACCACCAAUGUUCGUAUAGUAAAAUAGGACAUUCAGCACAUAACGAUUGAAUUUGGCCAGGGGAUUGUCUUGUGUUAGCUUAAUUAAUAUUGGUGGAGAUUUGACGCUAUCGUUCAACUCCGCCAAUAUUCAACAUGUGGUAAGUUUUUUCAACAUAUUUUGAACGUUGAAGUUGCGAUGGGUGCUAAAUUCGCGGCAUGUUCAAUGUCCCGUUUAACUUCAACGUCAGAAACACAUGGGUGUUCAAUGUGAGAUUUAACUUUGAUGUCGAAAGCACGUAUAGGCAUAAUAGGUGUUGAAUGUCCUGUUUAACUUCAAUGUCGAAAAUAUGUUGAAUGUUCUGCAUGUUCAUUGUCAGAUUUAGCUUCAAUGUCGAAAGCACGUAGGUGCUGAAUGUCCUAUUUUACUUCAAUGUCGAAAGCAUGACAUACAUGAAUAUUGGCGGUGAUAUGACGCCAUAGUUUACCUGUGAAAAUGUGCAUGGAAGCUGUAUAUCAAUUGCGCCGUACUGAAUCGUUCCAGUUGCCGGUCGUCGUGAUAAAAGCCGUAAGAUUCGAAUUAUAAAGUCAAUUCUCAGCUCUAAUAACAAACACAUGAAACUGUGAAGGCGAGUAAAUUAAUUUCAACAACGAACUGAAAUUACUCAACUUAUUUUGUUAUAUUUAACUUAAAAAUAGUUAUCCACAAAUGCACUUUAGUUGAAUUAACAUUUCAAAACAUUUUACCAACUUUUUCAGAUCAAAUUUUACAUUAAAUCAAAGCUAACAAAAUGCAAAAUAUCCCACAAUGGUCGUGAGAUAAUUCUGAACGGAACGAAAAUCACCCUGUUAUAAAGAUUCGUGCUUAGUGCAAGUUAUUUUCAACAGUACAACUCGAUAAUACAAUGCAACGUUCCCACAAAUUUAUUAUGAAUAUGAAAGAGUUUGACUAAUGGUCGAGGGUCGAUGGUCGAGGGUAAUAGGUCGAGGGCGAGGGUAGAAUGUCGAGGGUCGAAAAAAAUGUCGAGGGUCAAUUUUUUGACUGUAUAAUUUUUCGCAAAUUUUUAGUAACAGAAUCAAUUACUUACCAUUGCACAUACAUAUCACAAUUAAUUAAUUUGCUUUAGCCCAACGUCAAUGUUUUAUCCCUAUUAUGGAAUUUGCCAUGGCGCAGAGUAAGUAUGGUUCGCUAUUAAACGCAAAGUUUAGUUUGAACAAACAGAUAUGUUUUAUACGCCGAUGUAUACUAAGGCCAAUGAAAAUUGACAUCAUGUUUCUCGUCCCGCCCGCAUGGGUUUUAUCUGCCGCACGAAAAUUUUUCAUUAUUUAUUAUUUUUGAAAAAUAGGCUUAAUAAAACACCAAAUUGAUCUCCAGGUCAAAGUCUUAUUGCUGCAUUCCGCAAGCGCAACUCAAAUUGUAUCUUUCUAAAGACAUUACUCGCCAGAAUGCCUCUACUUUUCAUGUCAGCCCUGGUAUGCGUAGAAAUAUACUGUACAGUAGGACGUAUUAAAUUAAAAUGAAUUAUACACCGAUUUACUUCAGAUUUUUAUGGGUCAAGGAAAUUAUUGACAAGCAGAAUUCAAACACAAAAAAUAAUGAAAAAUGAAAAAAUCCCGCUCCAAAUUUUUGAAAAUUGUGGACGAGAAACAUGAUUUCAAUUUCCAUUGCCUAACGAAUAAACCCUAUUUUGAUCAUUAUGAAGUUAAUAACUGAUCAAAUUUCGAUCGCUACAGUCAAAAGGCGCCGCUUCACAUGCCAUUUGAUAAACAUAACAUAACCCUUUGCCACCUUUGUGCACUCAUGAUUUCAGCAAUCAUUACGACCACAAAAGCGAUAUAUAGUACUGUAUAGCUAUGUUUCCCGCAUGAUCUAGAAACCCACGACUAAACACUAAUGUCGUAUAAAAUAAUUUGUAAAGCCGUGAUUUUCUAACUAUCAGUAUUUUCUGCAUCGUGGCAAACGUUGACAGACGGCCAAUUGUCUUAUGUGCAUGCCUACGGCAGCAGGCAAACAUUUUUCGCACAGAUUAUUUUCCGCUCAUGUUGUAAUUUCUUGCGCCUAUGGCUCCUAUCGUCUGCGCGAAUUUGAUUACUGCGCGAAUUUGAUUAUUGCGCGAAUUUGAAUACAAAAUAUUUCAACAUUAAUUUUUAUUAAUAGUGAUAUUUUCCUGGGUUACUGGUUAUGCCUCAUCGGCGCAACAAAUUCGCAGCAAAAUGAAAAAUAACACUGACACGUCGAAGUGUCACCCCGGAUGUCGGGAUUUGCUUUCAGUUCUGGAUCAAAACUUGCGAGAAAGAGUGUCCCUAUAUGUCGUGUGUCGUGGGUUAAAAGUCAGGGGGCAGAAAAAUAGAAAUGUCGAUAAGUCAGGCAACUGUUGAACGUAAGUUGGGAAAAAAGGGAGGAAAGUAAACUGAAAAACAAGAAGUAUAUGUAAGAUAAUAGUAAAAAAUGCAAGAAAAUAGGGCAAUGUGGCGAAACGUUUGUAGCUUUUCGAAAGUUUCCGAAGUUUAGCAGGGAAUUUGAUUGGUCAGGCGCAAAAUGCAAAAGUCGGCCAAAUUUCGUUCUGCCCCCUAAUUUUUUCGCUCCCAUAUGCCUAUGAGUAUGUGUUUAUAGCAGACUUUGAGCAACGUAUAAAAUGAUGCGCCUGCACAGGAAUGUUUACCGAUCAACUAGUCAAGGAUUCUAAUUUUUUUGGUAAGCACACAGGUUUGAAUGAAUAGCCGAAAAUAUGAAUAGAACGUAACAGAUAUUUACAGCGGCACCUUUAAAUAAAAGAGAAUAAAGUCGGUAAUAGACCAGUAAUUUUAUUUUCCAUUGCUUUUCAGGUGCAGCUUGUUUCUUUCUGAAACAUUUUAGGGCCUAUAGCUAUGGGUCUACCUCAAAACGUUGUCUUCACGACACAGGUCAAAUACAGUCAAGUGGCAGUUGGGGAAACUUGUCUUUUCUGGAAUUUUCCGGCAACUGUCUGGAUCCAGCAGCUCAGUUUCGAUUUCGUGAUAAUGGUG